GACGAACGCUGGCGGCGUGCCUAAUACAUGCAAGUCGAACGAGAGCGACCGGUGCUUGCACUGGUCAAUCUAGUGGCGAACGGGUGAGUAACACGUGGGUAACCUGCCCAUCAGAGGGGGAUAACAUCCGGAAACGGAUGCUAAAACCGCAUAGGUCUUCGAGCCGCAUGGCUUGAAGAGGAAAAGAGGCGCAAGCUUCUGCUGAUGGAUGGACCCGCGGUGCAUUAGCUAGUUGGUGAGGUAACGGCUCACCAAGGCCGUGAUGCAUAGCCGACCUGAGAGGGUGAUCGGCCACAUUGGGACUGAGACACGGCCCAAACUCCUACGGGAGGCAGCAGUAGGGAAUCUUCCGCAAUGGACGCAAGUCUGACGGAGCAACGCCGCGUGAGUGAGGAAGGUUUUCGGAUCGUAAAACUCUGUUGUUAGAGAAGAACAAGUGCUAGAGUAACUGUUAGCGCCUUGACGGUAUCUAACCAGAAAGCCACGGCUAACUACGUG
rnacentral:rRNA from 1 species